GAGUGAAGCGGGAUGAGCUCAAAUUUGAAAGCUGGCAGCAAUGUCCGCGUUGUAAUCUCGAGAGAUGUUUUCCGCGCUGGACCACGUACAAGUUCCUUGGAAUAGGAUGUCAUAGAGGGUGAAAAUCCCGUACUUGAUGUGGACGCCCAGUGCUUUGUGAUACGUCUUCGAAGAGUCGAGUUGUUUGGGAAUGCAGCUCAAAAUGGGUGGUAAAUUCCAUCUAAAGCUAAAUAUUGGGGAGAGACCGAUAGCGAACAAGUACCGUGAGGGAAAGAUGAAAAGCACUUUGGAAAGAGAGUUAAACAGUACGUGAAAUGUUUGAAGUCAGACGUGUACUGCAGUAUUCAGCCUUGCUUUUGCUUGGUGUAUUUGCUGUAGUACAGGCUAACAUCAGUUUUGAGUGACGGAUAAGGGUAGAGAGAAUGUGGCAUCCUCGGAUGUGUUAUAGCUCUUUACUGGAUACGUCGUUUGGGACUGAGGAACGCAGCGCGCCGCAAGGCAGACCCUCGGGUACUUUCGCGCUUAGGAUGUUGGCGUAAUGGCUUUAAGUGACCCGUCUUGAAACACGGACCAAGGAGUCUAACAUGUCUGCGAGUUUUUGGGUGGCAAACCCGUGAGCGCAAUGAAAGUGAAUGCAGGUGGGAUCCGCAAGGAGCACCAUCGACCGAUCUUGAUCUUUAGUGACGGAUUUGAGUAAGAGCAUAUAUGUUGGGACCCGAAAAAUGGUGAACUAUGCCUGAAUAGGGUGAAGCCAGAGGAAACUCUGGGAGGCUCGUAGCGGUUCUGACGUGCAAAUCGAUCGUCAAAUUUGGGUAUAGGGGCGAAAGACUAAUCGAACCAUUAACAGUAGAACCUACUAAGUGGUUAAGAGGGAGCUGAAAAGGUAUCCCUAGUCGGCAGUCGUAAAACCACUGUGCGGCGACAUUGUCAAUUUGCGGGAACGUCCUAAAGACUUUGCUACCGCGGUUCAUCGAAAGAUCGAAUGCAGCACCAGGGUAACGACCUCGGGUAUGGUAAAAACGCAAAUGUAUGUUACAAUGGAUAAUCCGCAGCCAAGUUCUACGGGCGCAAGCCUAUGAAUGCAGUUCAGAGACUAUAUGGCAAUGGGUUGUGCUUUUCGGAGCACGGCUUAAGAUAGAGUCCAACCUCCCGCGAAAUCGGGCUCAGA
rnacentral:rRNA from 1 species